rnacentral:SRP_RNA from 1 species
UAUUGGUCUCUUCGCAACGAGAAGCUGCGAACCCCGCCAGGUCCGGAAGGAAGCAACGGUAGUGGCAGAUACGUGUGCCGAAGUCAGGCUGAUGCUC